AAACUUGAAGAUGAGGAACUAGUUUCGUUCAUCCUCACUGGGCUCGGCGAGGAUUUCAAUUCCAUUGUGACUGCCAUGGCGUCCCGUGUUGAACCAAUCACCGUCAACGAGUUGUACGCGCAACUCGUGGCCUUCGAGC
rnacentral:snoRNA from 1 species